UAACAAGAAUGUGUCCAAAGUACACAGCUGCCCCACUCGCAUUAUCAUUUUCCAUGUUUUAUGGACUUUAAAAUUGGAUAAAUAUUUAAUUUGGCAUUACAAUUAGAAAGAUUAUACUAUAGGGAACAUGUGUACUAAGUUUCAAGUUGAUUGGACUUCAAUUCAUUAAAAACUACCUUGACCAAAACUUUAACUGAAGCGGGACGAACGAACGAACGGACGGACAGACGAACGAACGAACGAACGAACGAACGAACGAACAGAGCCACAGACCAGAAAACAUAAUGCCCCUCUACUAUCGUAGGUGGGGCAUAAAA
rnacentral:lncRNA from 1 species